GGGAGGUCCAGAGGAUUUGGUUUUAUUAGUUUUCCAUCAAGUGAAGAAGCAACAAGUGCCAUGCAGGCCAUGGAUGGCCAGGAUCUUCAUGGAAGACGGAUAAAGGUGAAUUAUGCCACAGAAAAACGUCGUGAUGGUUUUGGAGGUGGCUAUGGUGGAGAAGGUGGAAACUUUGCAGGUGGUGGAGGUUAUGCAGCCAGUAAUUAUGGAGGUGGAGGUGGUGGAUUUUCUGGUGGCUACAAUUCUCCUGGAGGAGGUGGCUACAAUUCUGCUGGAGGAGGUGGCUACGGUAGCAGUAGUGGCUAUAACUAUGGUGGGGGGGAAGGCAGAAAUUUUGCAGGUUCUGGAGGUUACCAAACCAACAAUUACGGUGGUGGAUUUUCUAGUGGUCACAGUUCUGCUGGAGGCUACGGUAGCUAUGGAGGUGGUAGUAGCAGCUAUGGGAACAACAGUUCCCCUGUUGAGGGUGGCAACUACGGAAGCAGCCCUCCAAACAUCAAUUAUUCUGGUCAAGGCAGUAGUUUCUCAGGUGGUUAUGGUGGUGGCAACAGUGGGAAUGACUUUGGUGGAGCUCCUAGUAACAAUAAUAAUAGCUUCGCUAACACGGGAUUUGGUGGGAGAUCUGAAGCAUCAUAUAAUGGAAGCCAAGAACAGGUUAGUGCAGAUCAGGGAAUUCAAUCUGUAAAUGAACAUCUCGGAGAGGAAACAUCAGAAGGGAACUACAGGGAUGACGAUGACGAACCAAAGGAUUACGCCAACACCAGGAGCUGAAGUGAUUUUUGGUAUCAAGAAAAUGUCUAGGACAUGUUUGAGUCAUGCGUGAAUAAGAUUAGUAAUUCUGUACUAUUGACAUUUCCUUUUCAAG
rnacentral:misc_RNA from 1 species